rnacentral:rRNA from 1 species
GGACUACCCGGGUAUCUAAUCCUGUUUGCUCCCCAUGCUUUCGCGCCUCAGCGUCAGUUUCAGCCCAGUAAACCGUCUUCACCACCGGUGUUCUUCCACAUAUCUACGCAUUUCACCGCUACACGUGGAAUUCCGUUUACCCUAACUGUACUCUAGUUUGCCAGUUUCAAACGCAGCUCCGGGGUUGAGCCCCGGAAUUUCACGUCCGACUUAACAUACAGCCUACGCGCCCUUUACGCCCAGUAAUUCCGAUCAAUGCUUGCACCCUCCGUAUUACCGCGGCGGCUGGCAC